GGAACUCGGGCAAGUUUUGCAACUUCUGGAAAAGGGGUGCUUCCCACAAAGGGGGACGCAAUGACCAUGCCCAGCCGACUGUUUAUCAAAAAUACAGGUCUCCACAAAAUCAUAUGAUCAUGUGUGGAGGCUGACGCCAGUCCAGUGCCGGAAGGUCAAGAAUGUUGGUGACCUGAUGACAGGAGCGCCGACGACCGAAAUCCAGUGAACAGUGACCAUAACUAUAACGGUUUAGGAUAGCGAAAUUUCUUGUCGUGUAAGUUCCACUCUGCAUGAAAGGCGUAACAAUCUAGGCAUCAUC
rnacentral:ncRNA from 1 species